CCAUCAACAAUUUUCUUAUUCUUCCAUUUCUAAGAUGGAUUGAGUAUUAAAAUCACUCAAAGAGAUUUUUAGAGAACUUGAGGGUUAUUAUGCAGAUAAAGACCAGUUCAAAUAUAGAGGCUUGAAAUAACUUCACAUUAUUAAUUUGCAGAAUUUUGCUGGUUGACGGGUUCAACUAGGUGUUUUAUUGCCCUCCUUCCACCGCAUGUUUCAUUUAUGGUUUUGCAUGGGCACCAUUCUGAUGGAAAAAUAGCUGGAGCUGAGCUGUUCAAAUGGCUUCUCGAAUUGCCUUUGGAUCAAAGUCAUCAAAUAUGGCAUCACCUCCAUCUGUUGAGAGAGAACUGAACUUUUGGC
rnacentral:lncRNA from 1 species